CUGCUGCCUUCCGUAGGAGUCUGGGCCGUGUCUCAGUCCCAAUGUGGCCGGCCAACCUCUCAGUCCGGCUACUGAUCGUCGCCUUGGUGGGCCGUUACCCCGCCAACUAGCUAAUCAGACGCGAGUCCAUCUCAGAGCGAUAAAUCUUUGAUGCCCAGUGCCAUGCGACACAGACAUAUUAUGCGGUAUUAGCAGCUGUUUCCAACUGUUAUUCCCCACUCCAAGGCAGGUUACUCACG
rnacentral:rRNA from 1 species